UCCAGCUAAAAAAAAAAAAAGAAGAUGUGUACCCUUUGCCUGACUGUAGCUUCCAAUCAUAGUGAAAAUGUAACAACAGUCUGCAUGUGGAUAGAUGGGGAGGGAUAACACACAAACAGAAACAAUGUGAGCUGAUGAAGGAAAAGUUUAGAUGACUCAGAAAUGUGGGACUGAAUACAAAACUCUGCCCCUUCCUGCUCCUGCCUCCUCUCUUUGGUUUUCACCUAUGCUGAAGAGUGCUUUAUGUCUACUUGAGUAAUGUAUACUGUUACCCAUCUCUUAAACUGUAUCCAGUGCCUCUGAGAACAAUUUGUUAAGGGGAAGUUUGCUCAGGGAAUUUCAUAAUCCAGGGAACAUCUGUAGAGCUAAACUGGAAGACCCUAAUAACAGGGUCAUGCUGCUGAUUUUGUGUGUUCCCAGUAGCUGCCUAACGAAAUUGAUUGAGGCACCUGGGCAAUAGGGUAGUAGGGACUCUGCAGUAAGCCGCCAGUGGCAUAGGCACAGUUAUUGCUAAUGUGCUGCCAGAUGCAAACCUACAUACGACCACACAUUCCCAGAAACAGGUUCUGCCCUCUUUGGGGACAGCCAGCUUGGGGGCAACUCAUUGGGAGAUUCUUGCCAAUAGAGGCUCCAUUAUAAGAGCUGGGACAUAGAGCCAAGACCCCGUAGCAGCCUCGUCAAGUCAAGUCUUGUGGUAGUGCUCACAGUGGGCAGGAUGGGAAUAGCCCUUGGCAAGAUGGGCAAAUUGUCAGAUAUGGAUGGAUUGCUUGGGCCUCUUUUCCCUGAAAAGGGGCUAAAAGAAUUAAUGUUGAGAGUACAGAAAAUGCACUAUGGAUAGUAGAGGAAGACAGAAAGCCAGAGGCCCAGAUAAACUCUUUAGGUUUAGCGAGAAGGAAACUAUUUUCUGCCUUCCAAGUAUUAAUGACCUCAAAACUUCCUCCUCUUAUGUCAGCAUCAAUAUUCCACUUGUAAGAGCAAUCAGUGGGUAUAAAGGAAUUGACAUCUGCAUUUAAGAUUCUCCUUAUGGCCCUUACCCAGGCCUCCUCUUGACAGCCUUCUCAGGUAGGGCGCCUGGAUUCUGCUCUCUUUCUAAGUUUUCUCCCACCCCAUUUCUUAGCAGACAGCACUUCUCGAUGAGAACCACUUCUUUGAGUUUGAAAUCAUCUCCGGCCUGUCAACACACAUGCAGAUUGGAAACAAACUUUGGAAAUGGCAGAGAGCUUCCUGUUUCUCUGGUUCACUUUUUGACCUUACAGAUGUGUCAGUGACUCCCUCAUUUUUACACUUUAUACUGGCAUACCUGGGAGGCCAGGCAAAGCCUCUCUCCCUCCUGCCCAAGCACAUUGAGACAAGAACUGCCUUGGUGGAUUUUUUUGAAUUCAUGUUAGAUUGAAGUGUACAGGUAGAUGGGUAACAUGCUGGUCUUGCAAAUAUGGGCAUCAUCUGAAUUAUUCAGAGGUCAGUUUAAUGAUGUCAUCUGGAAAGCUCCCAGUCAAAGCUUUAGUUUGAGGACAAGUUGUAUACCUACGCUCUAGUGACUCUUCCUGGUUAAGAGGAGUCAGCAAACUAGACCCUUCUUAUUUCCUGAAGAUCACAGUACCUGUGUCACUCAAGGUAACUCCUGGCAUUUGUUGUCCAGCUUUCCUGCUCCAAAGCAUGAACUCGUAGGCAGCACACUGACUCUCACUUUUCUCUAGUUUAUUCUUCACACAUCUGCUAAGAUGAGGAGAAGCAGUUCUAACUGCUUCUUUUCUCUGUGGCUCCCCACCCUCUACUGCAUCAAGUGUUUGCUUGUGGGCAGAGCUGCUAGUUUGCCUUGUGGCCUUGCCACUGUCUGGUGCCCCAGUCUCCUGCAUUCCUGCUGCACUCUUUGGUUCCUGGUCUUCAGCUAUAUAAAAGUCCUUAUAUUCUCCAAAUAUGUAUAGCUGUGUCACCUGCUGAGAUUUUGUACUUGGCUUUCCCUUUGCCUGAAAUGACCUGUCCAACUUUCUGGGCUUAGAAAACCUUUUUUUUCUUUUCAUGAGUGAACUCAGAAGUUUCUCCCUUGGGGAAGCCUUUCCUAAUUCCAUUUUCUGCUACUUAACGAAUGUAUUUAGUACUGUCAUUAUCAUUGUUUGCUUACAAUAUGGUCUCCCCUAAAGGCCUACUGCAUGAGGACAGAAACCUUACUUGAUUUAUUUUUUAUGUUCCCAAGGCUGAAGGAAAAAGUCAACAAUAUUUGUUGAAGGCUAUAAUAGCCAAAACAGCAUGGUAUAAAAAUAGACAAACAGAUCAGUGGGACAGAAUAGAGAACCCAGAAAUAAAGCCCGAUACGUACAGCCAACUGACCUUUGACCAAGGCAACACAAGUAUACACUGGGGAAAGGACAUUCUUUUCAAUAAAUGGUGCUGGGAAUACUGGAUUGGCAUCUACAGAAGAAUGAAACUCUACCCUAUUGCUCACCAUAUACAAAAAUAAAUUCAAGAGGGGUUAAAGACCUAAAUGUAAGACCUGAAUAUAUAAAAUCGAUCUAACUGUCCAUCAAUGGAUGAUUAGAUAAAGAAAAUGUAAUAUAUAUAUAAAGAAUGAACUCAUGUCUUUCGUAACAUAGAUGGAACUAGUGGCCAUUGUCUUAAUGCAGAAACAGAGACAAAUACGGCAUGUUCUCACUUAUAAGUGGGAGCUUAAAUAAUGUGUACACAUGGACAUAGUGUUGAAUGACAGACAAUGGAGUCUAGAAAGGGUUGGGGGUUUGAGAGGGUGGAUGAUGAGCAACUACUUAAUGGAUUCCAUGUAGUCAUUCCAGUGAUGGACACACUAAUAGCCCUAUUUCACCCCUAUGCAAUACAUCCAUGUAACAAAAUUGCCCUUGUAUCCCAUAAAUUUAUACAAACUAAAAAAAUACUUGCUGAAUUGUCCUCUUAAGUUCUCUACCAAGAGUGUUUCCUUUCUAUUUGUAUUUGUUAAUUUGUGUCAUAUUUGCCUAGGAAUACUAGGUCUCUGAUUUCUCGUUACAUGACUGGUUGAAUACAUUAACAAUUUUACUCUUGUAAUUUUCACGAAUUCUUAAAUUUUCCAGAGCUUUACAAGGGUCUACAAUUGUAGUCCUUCUCUGCAUACCCACAGGUCUACUGUCAAAUGGUUCAAGAAGGGAAUUGGUGCUUCUGUUAACUUAUUCUUUGCGACGGAAAAGUCAGGCAAAGCGUAAUGGUGGUACGAAGCCAGAGCGCUCUUGUGCUGUUAGAGCUAAUUGAAAAUCCAAGUGCUAUGGACAGCAUUGUUAGUGAAGGAUUGACACUUGCAGCUGUCAUUUGCUAGAAGAUAAGGUUAUUAUUUACUGAUUGUGAGGCAUUUGGAGGGCUAAAGUCAUCUCCUUACAUUGUUAUCUAAGGAUAGACUUGAUUGUGAUAUUUUGGGGAUGAAAAAAAAAGAGUAAUGCUGAUUUCUAAUCUCUCUCUCUCUUUUUCUCUCCCAAAUUAGGAAAUAAUCCUUAUGUCAAAGGAUUAAAGGAAACAGUUCAUUUAGCAGGAAAGGAGAGCAGGAAGUAGAUGGUGGGGCAGUCGCCUUUGUUAAGGAGCCACUCCUUGCCUGACACUCAGCUGGGACCUGACACACAUUACAUAAUCUAAUUUUUACACAAACUUUGGCAAGUAGACUCAUUAUUUCAGUGUUUCAGAUGCAGAAACUGAGGCUCAGAGAGGAUAAGUAGACCCAUCCAAGGUAAACACAGCUUAAGAAGUGGCAGGGUCCUUGUCUGCCUGACACUGGAACAGUUUUUGGGGACACUCUCGGUUACUUCUAUGCCUUGACUAAGGAAGUAAAACUGUCACAUUGGGUGGCAGGUUGGGCAGCAAAUGGGCAUUUUGGAGAAUUAGAUUUUAUGCGGAGCAAUACUGGGCUUUCAGUCUCCUGACACAUGGUUCUAUCAUUUUCUGCCCUGAAUCCUGUGGAAUCUACCUUGCCUAGAUGAAUCAGAGUGUUUAGAAAUGACAGCUUUAUGGAAAUAAUUCAGAGCACGGCUGGGGUACACUGGUAAAGAUUAUGUAUCAAGGCUUCAGAAAUAAAAGUUGCCCUGAAUUGGUGACUUUUAGCCCCAUCUAGUCUGCAUAGUCAUUAGACAGCCUGAAUGUCAGCGAUUCAGGGGACAAAGCCUUAGAAUGAAAAAGAUAAAUGAUUGGUUCAGUAAUGUUCCCCUACGUACUCUAAAAGUCAGCAUCAGACACCAGAUCAAUCUUUUUGUUUUCUUUUUUGCCAUUUAAUAGGUCUGCAGGGAGACAGAAGAUUCAUGUCAAUGAAAGUCUCUAUAAUCAAACUGAACAGGAAAGCCAUAUGAAAGGACACAUUGCGUCCUAUGCUCUGAAUAUAAUUAGUAAUAGGAUAGUGGAAUAAAAGUAGUAAGGGAGGCAAAGGGAGAAGUGAGAAUAUGAAAAUAUCUGGAAUAGAAAACAUGCAAGGACAAGUGCCUCGGAAGGCAAGGAAGGCAUUAAUAUACAAGGAUGGAGUCGAAUGUGAUAUUUAGGGGAUGAAAAGAGUAAUGCUGGUUUCCAAUCCUUCUCUUUCCUAAGUUAAGACAUGACUCUCAUGUUGAUUUAAUGCUAGAAGAAUGGACUAGAGAAAGUAGGUCCCCUGGCUAAGGUUGAGGACAAGGGACUGGAUUGAAGCAGAGGAAGCGACAUGAAGAUUGUGUAAAAGGAGCAGGGAGAACCUUCACUACACUUAGGAACUUUCAUUUUUUUAGUAACUCAGGCCCUGGAUCUUCCUGUCUUCCAGGCCAAGGGUUCUUUCCUAUAUUAACCAAAUUGCCUGGUUGGAGUCCCUAUUCUUGAACUCUGGAGAGAUCACAUCUUCCCAAAUGCAUCCAAGGACUUCUUAUGGGCUUGAAUUUCUCCAGUGCUUUUAUUUAUCCAUUUUUCUGAUCCCACUAAAUUCCCUCUUUCAGUUUCCUGGCAUCUUAUAGCUCUUCGUUUUUUGCCAUUGCCAUCCCAGAGUGUCGUAGCCACCUCUGUUUGUGUAAAUGAAGGUUUUGGGUUAACAGAAGGGCAUUUAGCACUGUGUAGAAUAGAAAACAAAAUUCAUGAAUUAUUUCGGGCUAGGGGGACUUCGCUCCUGCUUUCCUCACUACCUGCCCACAUCACCCAUUUCUUCUAAAAUCCCUACUCCACCCCCUACUCCCCAAACUGGUGGCAUCUGCAGAUAGCUCCAAGAUUCUGGUUGCUUCACGAAGCAAAGCGGUUUAGCUUUCUUUGGCUUCCACAAGAAACCACACUGUUAUGGGAUCUUUGGGGCACGGAUUUUCUGGCCAGAAGCCUCUGUGGCUGGGUGGGGCCUUUGCCAGAGUUCUUGUUCUACAUCCAGGAAGAAUGAGGUAUGCAGAUAAGUAGCGAAGGGUGAACAAGAUGAAGACUGGCUUUAUUAAGUGUUAGAACAGCUCAGAGGAGACUCAUAGUGGAUACUUCUGCUCUGUAGGCAGGUUGUCCUGUGGAGUGUUCAGCUGCCAGCAGAGUGGAGGCCCUGGAGAGGGUAGCUCCUCUCUGCUCACUGGUCAUCCUGAUAUCUCUCCUGAUCUCAGCAGAGAGAGCGCCUCCUUUCUGCAGCUGGUCUUCCAGUGGUCUCUGACUUUCACCAUCCUGUGCCCUACUUUGGCUGAGCCCAGGACUCUUAUGGACCUCAGAGGGGAAAAAAUGCUUGCUGAUUGAUCCAUGGGUAGCUAUGGGUGGCUCCAGAAGAGGGACCAUGAGACCCUACUCUGGUUAGUAGGACUGACAGCCCUCAACCUCCUGGCUUGAAAGCGGGGCCUUACUGGAGACCAACCCUUUUUCUCCCAGGAAUCAAUCUGCCUCCUGCUGCAGUACGCCUUCUGCUGAUAUUCAUGGCUUCAGGGCUUAGCCACAACCUUGCUCCAGGGUGGAAGCAGGUGCCAGGCGAGGGACUGGCCAGGCAGUGGGAACAGACACCCCAGAGCCAGCAGGGCCAGCUGCUGGCUGGGCAGCCGCAGCUGCACCACAGAAGGGAGAUCCACAAGAGCACAGGGAGACUUGGACCCACAGCUGGAGUUUGGGUGGCCAAAGCCCGACCUAGGAAGGUAGGGCUCCUGCCUGCUCCAUAGACCAGGAGGCCUGGGUCUGCAGCUGCAGCUUGGACAACUGCAGUGAUGACUGGGGAGCUCCAAGUCACACCUCCCUGCUGCAGCCAGCAUGAGAGCAGUGAAAUGGGGAAAUUUCCCUUGUCUCCCUCACAGGGUGUGUGAUGCUGGUGUGACUUGCUUCUUCAGUGCCUCUUUGCUCAAACCUCUAGGGGAGCAUACAGACAGGCAAGCUGUGGAACUCUGACCCCACAGCAGUGUCUAGGGGUGAAUGUUUACAACUGAAGUCCCAGUGGGCAUGUGUUACAGGAUGCUCUUUUACUUUUGUUAUCUGUAGGAAGCUGGGUUAGCCAGCUAAGUUAGACCCCUGCCUUAUCACAAGGGCAGAGGGCUUUCUCUCCUGGGAUUCUUGCUUUCUGUACCAGAAGAACUGGAUCACAUGUGGGCUUGGAGAAUAAGUGCAAGCUUUUAUUAAGUGGAAGUAGCUCCCAGCAGAUGGGGGGCCAGAAUGGCGAUGGUUUUUUUCUGGAAUUAGGCCUGACAGUGACCCGAACUCUCCUCCAACUGCCCCAGCCACACUCCGCGUUGUUCGAUGGCCUGCAGGCGUGCUGGUGCCUGUCGGUGUGCUCCUGUCAACGUGCUCCUGUCAAAGUUCUGUUGCCUAUGUGCAUAUGUUCCUCCCUUCUCUGAUGUGCUCCUUUUGAUGCCCGGCCACCUGUGUAUCUACCUGUUAGGGUCUUGGAGAAUGAGUGCAAGGUUUUAUUGAAUGUGGUAUAUAGGCACAGGAUGGGGACAUGGCAGGCUAGGGUGGUCUUGGGAAAUGCAGCACUUGGGCAGGAAAACAGAAAUUCCUGUCCUCACUUAGGUCCAUAGGCACAGGCCUGGGGGUGGAGCUCUAGCCAAGGACCACACCCUCCUCCGCCCAGCCCUUCUCCUCCUUGCUUCUGUAUUAUUUAAAGAGAGCAUACUCUUUCAUUCCCCGUACUUCCCUGCUGUAUCAUUUCACUUGUCUGAAAAGAUACAUCUAACUACCAUAAGAUAUGGAUUGUGCUUAGCUGCUUCCUGCAUACGGGGCAUUGUUUUGGAGAAAACGGCAGUGAGAUUCCUCUCAGAGGUCUCUCUGAGGGUUUCCCAGCAAAAGGGAGCCAAUGGCUUCUAGGUGUGAGGGGGAGAAGUUUUAUAAGGUUAAGUAUGCAUGGGUUAUACAUGUGUAUUACAUAAGGAAUGAAUUUAGUGCCAGGGAUUACAGAGAUAACAACAUUGUAUCCCAAGCUGUUUCACCCUGGUGAAAGAAAUUAAACCUGUGUGGGAGCAGAUAAACUUUAGAAGAGGGAUAUCUGUUCUUGCCAUAUCUUUAGCAGUUAACAGGUGCACCCUGGAAUUCUGGGGUUUGUGGGCUUGCUGUAUAACCUAUCAGAGUCAUCUGAAAACUUGCUAAGAUCUCCCUUAAUUUUCUUUAAGGCCUGUAGGAAGAAGGGGACCUGGACCUAACUGUACCUAAAUUCACUGGGCAUCUGUUGUAGGGGCAAGAGUGAGAGUGGGGCUUGUUUAAGGUGAGGAUUUCUAGGAGGGGGCAAGUGGGAGGCUGAAGCUGGUUGGGGAGGUCAGGGUGGACCCUGAGGAGCAGGGUUUGAGGGAGCUGGCUCCUCUGCUGGGUGUGCCUCUGUGACUUGUAUCUUUAAUUCCUUGGGCUUGCCCCUUGCAGCCUUUCCUGAGAUGGUAAACAGGAGGGCUGGAUCAAUCCUAUAUUGUCGGCAAAGGUCUGGAUUGCCUGCAAGGCAUUGAAAGCCUGCACAUAUGGGCCUCAGAACUAUGUAUCCUCAAAUCUAAAGAAAAGUUACAAUUGCUGGAUGGUAUGAGUGGUUCCUUCCUGAGGCCAAGACAGUCCUUCCUGUAAAUCAUAAUUUGGCCAAACCUUUGUGUAGAGGCCUAUAAGGUGCUUUUCCGUCAGAUUCUGAGGAUCAGAGCAGUCCCACUUGUUCAGGAUAUAGUCCAGAGGAAUAUAAGCUGGGCCUGGUGAAGAGAACUGGUUGCCCUUUCUGAAAGACAUGGAAUAGAGGUGUCCCUCAUUUCCCUUCUUCUUUCAGUAAAAACUCAGGGUAUGAUGGAGAGAGAAAGUGGGCACCCUCCUUUCACUUUCCACCUCUUGUCCCUGAGCCCCGGUGACCUUGGCAGGUGCUGGCCAUAGGUACCAAUGCAGUAUGUACCCAUGAAGAAGAGAAAACCCGGAGAAUGGGAAUUGACUGCCCUCACCAAUGCCUCCGUUUCUCCCUGCUCUCAGCAAACUUCGAGUUCCCUGGGCCUGUUUAUGCCACGAAGCAUGGCCUCCUUCCUUGGGGCAGGGUUCAGUCAGUAGGAAUUGGUCCUGCUUGUAUACAUCGUGCCUGUUGCAUGGAUCUGGAUUCCCCAGACCUGGGGCGUCAGCCUGAAGCUUGGAAUUGAGUUUGGGACUGAAAAGUCAUUUCAGAGAAUGUUUGUAUCCAUUUAGUGUCUCAAAUAAGCCCUGCCGAAUUUGCUGUUAUCAGCCAGCAGGGGUCGCUCCUCUGUUAACAUCCCUAUCAGAAACAGAGUGGGGGGAGGGGCCCUCUCACUUAGAAAAGGAAAGAAAAACAAGAGAAAAACAGUUAAGGGUGGGGGAAAGGUGGGAUGCUUGGGAAGGAACGCGUUGGUUAGUGCAAGCGGAGCCCUCUAAUCCUUAUACCCUUCCCAUUCUUUCCCCAGUUCAGACCAGGUUGAAUUUUUUGACUAGGGAAGGAAAGGGUCCAUUGGCUCAGUAGGCAAGAAGCACCCUGUAGGGUCCUGGCUAUGUCCUUGACUUCCUCCCACCUCCCUCAUGGCUCCCACCCAGGUGCCCUAGCAGGGAGGGGAAAGAGUAAGAAGAGGUGCUCUGAGAUGUUGUGUGCCUGUGACUAUCAAGGUGGAGGCAUAUACGGCACUUCUAAGAAAAAUUGGUCUGAUUUGCACCUUUGGUGGCUGAGGCAAACACUCAUUUUACUUAGAAAUAUUGCUGCAGCCUUAAUAUUGUAGGAAAACUCUUAAUAUUGUAAAGAAAGAGAUAAAAGCCAUUUCAAAUUGUGUGAGAGAAAGGAGAGACAAAAGAGAAACAGAGCCUCUUAUCCACAGGAAAGAGAGAGAGUGGCGGGGUUUUGGAAGAAAGGCAGACCUGACAGUUUCGCAUUGGCUCACAUGUACCUUCCAAGAUCCUUGAUGAGGCCCCAGUUGAAAUGGGAAAAGUUCCCUUGUCCCCCUUGCAGGGCAUGCGAUGGGAGUGUGACUCACUUCUUCAGUGACCUGCUGCUCAAACCUCUAUGGGAGCGUACAGACGGGCACGCUGUGAGACUCUGACUCCGUGGCAGUGUCUAGGGGUGAAUGUUUAUAGCUGAAGCCCCAAUGGGCAUGUGUUACAGGAUGUUCUUUCAGUUUGGUCUUCCAUCUGCAGCUGUGUUGGUCAGCUCAAUCAGUCCCCUGCCUUAUCACAAGGAUAAAGGGCUUUCUGUAUCCUGGUGUUCUUGCCUUGGUGUACUGGAAGAAUAGAAUCAUGGGCUUGGAGAAUUAAUGCAAGGUUUUAUUGAGAGGAAGUAGCUCUCAAUGGAUAGGAGAUGGUUUUCCCCUGGAGUCUCUCCGGGGAUAAUUUUCCCCAGUGCUCUCCUCCAACUGCCCCAGUCAAACGCUGAGAUAUGUAUCUGUGUGGAUAUAUCCUACUGGACAGUUUAGUACUUCACAUUUGAAAUCAUUUGAUUCCAAUACAUCAAAAAGAGGCCUUUAGGGCAGUGUCAUGUGACUUGCUAGUGAUUGCAGCCAAUGUUCAGAGUCCCUUUCAGUUUCCUGCCCCCUUGGACAAGCCUUGUGCCAGGACACACAUCCUUUGUCCACCUGCUGCUGGUGUGAGUGCUCGCUACAGCCUUCUCCUUUAAUGCUUCCUCACUUCCUGUCAGAGGGCUGGUGUUUCCUACGGGCUCUCUGAGGAUUCUCAGAAAAGCUUGAGAAGCUCUCUUCCAAUCUGUACAGUGAAGAGCCUUACACAGAGAGUGAAUCUCUAGCUAGAAAAGCCCAAAGUUGUAGAAACAUCUCUACGGAAAUCUAUCCAUGGGCACCACUUUUUUCCAAUCCUCUAACUCAGGACACACAGGCUCCUAUGUGUGUGAGAUGGUCAGGAGAUGCAGUUUGGAUGAUGAAGCAUUGAAGUGUCUAUUGGUCGUACAACAGGACUGAAUAUUUGAAAUCAGGACUGUUCUGUAAAGCUUAGCAUAGGAGGAGGGAUCCCCAACCUUGACCCUGGUGCCCUUCCAGAUCUCUCCCACAUAAAUGGCCUCUUCUAAAGUCACAGUAGGGAGUGUCAGAAGGGGUAGAUCCUUCACCAGUAUCACCACUGGGGUAGGGUAGACUACGGACUGCUGAGUCCUGCCACAGAUACUUGCAGUUGAGGUUUAUGUAGGGGGCACAAUUUUCCUGGGAAGCUCAGCAAACUCUUAUCAUGGGGUUGUUCCUAGGUCAGGGAAAUUCAGGGGAUACCAAGAAGUCCAGGAUGACUGACUCUUAUUGAUAAGAAAGGUCAUCUUCUUCUUCAUUCACCCUCAAAUCUUUGAACUGACACGCAGAUUAUUGAUCUGUGUACUUUCAUGAGGCAUGGAGACAAAUACACCAAAAUACACCCAAACCUAUCUACAGUAGGGGUUAAAUGCAAGUUCUAUACCUGUGUUCCUGUUCAGCGAUUAAGAAUGUAAAGCGCUUUUUGGCACUUGUUAUUUGAACGAUUUAUAAAAUGCCCCUCUUUGCUCUUCGUCCCUUCCCUUCCAGAGCCUGUGAACUUGUUUCUGGAAGAGGAGUCAGUUGCUAUGGGAAUAUUAUUUAAGGAGACACAUGUCAAUGACAUUCUAUAAAAGUGGUACCAGUUUACACUGUCAUGUAAAAAGGCAGUGGGUUACACAUCAGAAUUUGGUAGCACGAUCAGACAAUUUGCUCUUUGUGAGACAUGGUCACAGUAGGGAGUGUCAGAAGGGGUAGAUCCUUCACCAGUAUCACCACUGGGGUAGGGUAGACUACGGACUGCUGAGUCCUGCCACAGAUCCUUGCAGUUGAGGUUUAUGUAGGGGGCACAAUUUUCCUGGGAAGCUCAGCAAACUCUUAUCAUGGGGUUGUUCCUAGGUCAGGGAAAUUCAGGGGAUACCAAGAAGUCCAGGAUGACUGACUCUUAUUGAUAAGAAAGGUCAUCUUCUUAUUCAUUCACCCUCAAAUCUUUGAAUUGACAUGCACAGGUAAUUUGUUCAUUACCUGUGUUAGGCACUAUGUUUGCACUAGGCUAUAGAAAGGGUCAAAAUUUAAUCCCUGUCUUGAGGUCACAGACUCCUAGACAAGGCAGUCAAGUUGAUGCCGAAUUACAAUAGAGUGUGAAAGUGCUACCCUAGAAAAAAGGUACAGAGGGCUCUGCAACCUAGGGCCGAGGCCCCUCAGCUUGUUGGUGAAAAGAGUCAAGAAAGGUAUCUGAAGGAGAGGGGUUUCUUCUCUAGAUCUGGAUCUGGUCCAAGGGAGUGCAGGCUGAAGGGAGGUGAAGCUCAACUUUCCAGCAGAGGGUGCCCACCACUUGGUUGUAUUACUCUGAACUAUGUGGUUAGGCGUGAGGGCCUCUGACCUUUGGAGGACUGGAAAAUCAGAGCAGGGAAUCUGAGAGAUCAGACUGGAGAACUGGAACAGAACCUUGCAACACAGCAUAAAAGGCAGAAACCCAGUUCUUUGACCCGAGGCACAUGGAGACUGUCUGAGCUUGGGAACCCCAAGGUGCAAGAGCCCUGACUGUCUUCUUUCCAGAAUGGGCACGCAAGGGGGUAGCAGACUGCCUUCAAAAAAAUGUGUGGGAAUUCAGGGGUCAGUCCUGAGGUCCAGAGGUCUGGAUAGCAGCCAGCGUGGAUCCAGGCAAGGUGGUGUGGCCUGGGCACCUCUCCCCUACCCAUCUCCAGGCAGGCAGCUUAACGCUAUGCCCUACCAGAUGGCAGAUGGGGUCAGAACGGACAGGAGGGUGAACUGAAGCAACUCAACCACUUCCUUCCUUCAGGCCUGGCUUGGGUUGGAACUAGACAAGGGUUUGGAGAGCCUGAUUGUGGAAGGGGAAAUGGAGAGCUGGUGUGGGAAUGUGAGUGCACUGAGAGAUUAUUUACACCAGUGUUCUGUAAAGUGAGGAGCUUCUCUGUUUGAAAGUCAAACUAUAUGAAAAAAGUCAUGUGGGGAUAGAUGCUUCAUGUAUAUGCAGAGAUUGAUAAUAAAGUUGAGCAGUAGCAAAAGGAAGAAGACUUUUCAGAGUUUACCCAAUCAAGCUUGGACUAGUGGCAAACCCUCUGUCCAGUCUGACCCCAGGGUGUGAGGACCUUGCUGUUUGCCUCUCUCUACUUAGGACGCCUCCUAGGAGACCUUGGAAGCUGGUGGGCUAUCUUCUAUCCACAAUUGUUUGCCUCUUUAUCUUGGCUCCCCCCCCACCCACCCCAUCCAGGCAGCCCAUUUCCGCUUGUACCCUGUGCAUCUUGCAAUCUGGCCAGAUACCUGGCUCCAGAGCUUUGCCUUAUGAGAAUUAGGCCUUUGAAUCCUUGCUUCCCUCCCAUCCUAACCACUCUUUAAUCUAACUCUCUGUACCUCCCCCUCAAGUGACUCUGGGACUCAGCUUGGCCAAACCUGCCUCUGAUCCAAAUUGUGCUCUGGGUUAUAACUUCAUCAACGACAUUUCUCAAAAGCUAAAGUCAAACCUCUGCCAGAGGAAGAUGUAACUAUUUAGAGCAAAAUAUUGCAUACCUGGCUCACAUGAGUCGCUUAGGAGGAAGAAGGAGUUUGUUCUAAGAAUAGUAAUUACCUUUUGGGUGAGAUUUAAACUCAGAGCCAGAGCAUUUCUUAGAAAACCGUGGAUAAAGGCAGGUUAUUAACAGCAGUUAACUAUCAGCUUCUUGAAGUCUGUGUAAAAUCUGGCCCAUGGAUUCAAACAAAACUGGUAUGAAAUAGCAUUUCUCUUCAUGUCUGAGGCUCCAUGGUGGUUGGCUUCCUUCUUCUUUCUUCCUGCGUGUGACCAUCUUCUUGCCAGUCUCAGGUUAUGCACUUACGUGUUUUCCAAAAAAUCAAAACCAUGUCCAAUACUCUCGUCAUGUGUCAUUUUAUUCUUAUUCUUUAAUUGAUCCAACAGCUUUCCUUUCAGACUAAAUUGGCUUUAUUGUACCCCAGAGGUGCCCACAAAUGCUGAAUUACAUGAGCAAAACCCUCAGCCUCUGAUAGGGGCAUUGCACUCAAUAGCCCUACUGAGACAUUCAUCUCUACUGGCAAUCUUUGGUCUUUUGGGUUAUUUGAAUACUCUGACUAAAUAUAUGUGUGUGUAUGUGUAUUUUGGCCCAAAGCUUCAAAAGUGGCAAAACACUAUGGCAACAACAGGAAAGUUUAUAAUUGCAGUUUUACAAUUAACAUUUGUGUCCCGAUUUACACACAUAUUUUGCUAUACCAAUUCUCUAGUAAAAAUUAUUCAAUGAAUUCAUGGAUUUUUUUUUUUUGGUGGGAAAAUAAUUUGUGUGUUUUAAAUACUCAGAGUCUGGAGAAGGUGGGCAGGUGACCUAAUAGAGUGGGACCCUGGCUCCAUGUAUGUCCUGUAGUGCCAAGCUCUGCUGGGCUGAUGCCUAUCUUGGGCUGGCAGCCCAGGGAGUGUGAGAAAUAGUUAGCCUGGCUAUGCCAAAGUUACAUUUAGGGUAUGUUUAGCCCUUAACAGAGACACUUGAAGCAGAGCUUUCUCUAGAGAUUAGUUCCCAGCUGGUGUCGAUAAUGCUUUGGCCUCCCGAAUACCUCCGCAUGAGCUUUUGUUUCCAGGAAAUGCUGUUGCUUUAAUCGUAAUUGCUCAAAUGAGCAGCCUUUGCCCACUAAAAUAGAAUUUAUAUUCAGGAAUUUUUAUUUGAUGGGGAUUCUUCCUCAGAUACCAAUCAGACUUUCUUAUUUGGAAAGAAAGAAAACAGCUGGCACAGUCUUCUCAGAGUGGUAAAGAGGACAACUUGUGAUGGCUAGUGUAGUUCUUCCUGACCCCCUGAGUGUAGACAAAGCCCCAAUUCAGAGGAUGGAUUUUCUUGGAACUUUCUCAUAGCUUCAUGGUAUGAUGACAGAGUAGAAAGUGUUUGUCUUUUGUUAUUAAAAUGGACAUUUCUACAUGUGAAGAUGCGUAUUUAGGAGUGAUGUACCUAAAUAUAAAAAAAAUCCCCAAACAAAACUCCAAACCUAAAAAUAUAGACAUGAUGCCUUGUCUUCCCACAGACACAGGAUUUCAUCUCUGAAUAAUUUGGUUGGUCAAGCUAGUCAUAAUUUUAUACUGUUGUGGGACACUUGAAAAACAAAGAAGAAAAGCCGUGGCCCCAAACACAAGCCUAAGUUUCUUUGUCCUUUCUGUGGGGUCUACAUAUUCAAUAAAUGUGUGCCAUCCCUUCCCUGAUGAUUGUUUAUGUUUGGAAUCUGUUCUGAUUGACCAGUGCCUUUACCAUAUACCAGUUGUUAAAUAUUUUGAACAUCAGCUCCACAUAACAGAAUAAUUGGGAAAGGAGUAGCAUCUUAAAGGAUGUGAAUGAGACAGAGAAAACACUCCUAGAUAAGGGCAAUCCCAGGCAAAGGGAAGGGGAAAAGGAUGGUGAGGGGAAAUUAACUAGAUCUCCCAAAGUGGGCACUAAUUUGAGCCUUUAAAGGCCUUUCUUAAAAAGGUCCAAGUAUGAAGAACACAUUGACACAUGAAACCUGAGAAUGGGAGCGGACUGAAAAGUGAGACCAGGUCGUGGUUCAAAAACAGAUGGAAACUGUGAGUUCUGAGGCCAGGAAAUUACCCUAGUGAGGACGAUGAGCAGAGCCAUAGUGCAAAUGGCUUGAAGAAAUCUGUUGCCACUCAUAUGGCUGGUGCAGCUAGCUGCUCUCUCUGGAGGCACCAAGUGAUGCUGGAUAGUGCUUGUGUAUCUUGCCCUCUCAACUGUUUCUCCUCCUUUUUCAAUAGUAUUGAGCACCAAUGUCAGAGAGCUGAUGCAGGCUGAAAAGUGUCCUACGGUAUGCCAUGGCUGAGGCUCAGCUCUUCUACCUGCCCUCCUGCUAUUCACCAUAUCCUUGGCAUGGCUUCCAUUUCUUGAAAGAGUGAACUGGAAACUUGAGUGACUAAAGAAUGUGGGAUGAUUAUGGAUUUUCAAUUUCUAAUAUUUAUGUAGCCAGUUUUCAUAAUGUCAUGCUUUAGUGUCCUAUGGAAGUAAAGGCUUGAAGACCCAUCCAGGUGGUGUAAAAGUCCCUUGAAAUUGGUUGGUGUUUCUUUGGGGAAUGGAUGCCUAAUGUCCUGCAGACGGAUCAGGGCACACAAGGUUAGGGACAUAUCACUCCAGGUGGAGGGCCAGAGCUAAGUGUAAGAUUUAUUGCUGAGGUAAAAUGAGGAAACUGAGACAAGUAUAACAAAGUGAGAAACUAAUUUAUUCAGCUCCUGGGGGAGCUUCAGUGGUCCAAGGGAGGGGCCAGAGAAGUGUGCCCGGCUGUGCAGGGUGUGGCGAUUUAUGGGGAGGGCAGGCAAUUGAUUGGGUAUUGGGGAAACAAAGAGAAGGCAUUUAUAUUGGCUGUUGAGGAGCAGGAAGUACAUGGAGUUAAAGUAGGAAGUACAUGAAACUAGCUGCCAUUGGUAGGUGGGCGGGACCUUGGGUAAGUGGGCUUUGAUUGACUACUGGGGAAACAAAGAGAAGGCAUUUUUAUUGGCUGUUGAGGAGCAGGAAGUACAUGGAGUUAAAGUAGGAAGUACAUGAAACUAGCUGCCAUUGGUAGGCAGGCAGAACCUUGGGUACCUGGGCCUGCUGGGGCUGGGUAGGCUAUGGUGGGGCUUCUUUAAAAAAUUUUUCUGCCAGGUUUUUUAACAGCUGGAGGUUGGAUGCAUAAUUUAGUGCUGAGAGUGGGCUUGGGCAUAGUAUGCAGAGGCAGGUGCAGGGAAGCUAUGUGGGGAAGCCAGAUAAUGAGCUCCGGUGAUGACGCAGUUAUCAGGUGUGGAGAGUGAUGAAUGUGUCUGUUUGACUCCCGGCAAGGCAAUCGGCCUUACACUAAGGAGCUCUUGGCAUUAGUCAAAGAGAAGUCCAGUAGAGAUAGGGAGAUCACCACUGAAGCAGACAUCUCUAUCACCUCAUCUUCUGAUUUUUCUGUCCUCAUUCAUAAAGAGGAAGAAUCUUUGUAACAGCCUAUGGAAAGAUGUUUUUCUCUUUUCACUGCAACUUCAGCUAAAGAUGGUGAAACCAAGGUCUCAUCUUUUUAGUUACUUGCUUCUCGUAAGUAAUUAAAUCGGAUAAUACCUCUGAUGUAUGUCACCAUGCUUAAGUUGUUUCUCAGGAACUUAGGAUCAGCUCUUGUUUAGCUUGAACCAGUUGAGACCACCAGGCCUGUGCAAAUGCCCAAAUGAUGACCUUUUGAUGUCACAGAGCCAAAAACAACUCCCUCAUAUCAUGCUAACACCACCAUUUUCUGAACAUUUGUCUUAUGAAGAACCAUGAACCCUGACUGUUUGGCAGAUCAUAGACUACCUCAUUUUUCCCACUGCCGAUCACCUUUCCCUGUGUCUUAGAUCACUUCUACCACUUCUUUACCCCAUACAUUUCCUUAAGUCCUAUCUUUGGAGAGGUGGAUUUGAGAGCUGUUCUCUCAUCUCCAUGCUGGGUUGUCCUGUGAAUCAAUAUUUUCUGUACUGCAAAACUUGUUGUCUCAGUGAUUGACCUUCUGGAUGAUGAGCAGAAUGAACUUGGCUCAGUAUCAAGGGCAAUGGGUGAAAAAUAACUUGACAUUCAGGACUUUCCAGCAGGAGCCAGACUUGUUUUUGGAAUACCUGCACCCAUCAUCCAAGUCCAUUUCAUAAAUUGGAAGAUUGAAAUUCAUUGGGUGAAUUGUUCUAAAGGGAAUUUGUAAGAGUAAAGCCAGUUGUGGGUCUCUCCCUCAGGGAGGAGACAAGAGAAGAGGAAAGGUUGUUACUUCUUUUUGCUCUCCUUCAUUAGCCAAAUGAAGAGGAUGCAAUAAAACCAUGAUAACUUCUCAUGGAAUCUGGGUUGUCUGCUUGAAGGGAAAAACAUGUCACAUGACAUUACCUAGCUGAAUGUCUUUUGGGAUUCAGAAACUCAUUAGCUUGCCAAUUUCACGAGAAAUCUUCACAGAUGUCCCCUGAAGAAGUCUAAAUGUGGGACGUUGGCUGGGGCAGUGCACAGUAGUAGUGCAAGAAGAACAGGGGUAGUAGCUGGGUAAGCUUCCCUUGCAUUGUUUUGAGGGGCAAGAAUGUAUACCCCUCAAAGCAUCAGGCAGAUGUGUAAAAGGUUCUAGGAUCAAGUUGUCUUGAAAGACUACUGGAUGGUGUAGGGGGAUCUCCAGAGUUAAAUUGAUGGGGCAGGACCUGAGGGGGCUGAGGUCACCAUACUUCAUCAGAGGGAGCAUUGUUUGGGUUAAGAGAUGAUGCCACAGAAGGUCUCCUUAGUGGUCUUCAGCAUACUUAUAUUUGUCUCUCACAAAAUAAAGCCAGUAUUUACACAAUAGAGGUUCUUCAGGAGCCAAGAGAACACUGCAAACAGCACCAAUGAAGUAAAAAUUCUUUUGUUUUUUUUUUCUAUCAUUACUCUUGUACCUAGAGAACCCAGAAGUAGGCACUGGGUAGAGUGGGGUGAUAGGAAAAGACAAUGACUGCUUCCCAGAUGCUAAUUCUCAGACCUGAAAUCAAGACUGAGCAGAGAGGAGAAAGAAGUUUUAAUUGGAUGUGGCAUUAAAGUUUUGAUUUAGAGUGGUGUGGAUUAGAUUUUUAAAUUUCUGAAGAUGGGACUUCUUAUUAGCGGCUAAAAUGGAAUUGAAAGUGAUGCAAUCUGUCCCAGGCAUUGGUGGGAGAAAAAUAAAAACAUUUCCUAAUUAUAUAAUACCCAGUUAAACUCUGUACCAAUCUGAUAAAAAUCCACAUUUCAAAUAUACCACUGCAGCUUUCUUACUCCCUUAGCUACAUUGGUUUUAUUCUGAAGACCUACCAAGACUGUGGUAACUUCAGGUACAAAUUUCUAUCUCCACUCUGGAUAUUGAAAAGUAGGCAAGAAUUUGGGCCAGGUGUGAUGGCUCAUGCCUGUAAUCCCAGCACUUUGGGAGGCUGAGGCAGGUGCAUCACCUGAGGUCAGGAGUUUGAGACCAGCCUGGCCAACAUGGUGAAACCCCAUCUGUACUAAAAAUACAAAAAUUAGCUGGGUGUGGUGGUGCGUGCCUGUAAAGCUACUCAGGAUGUGGAGACAGGAAAAUUGCUUGGACCUGGGAGGCAGAGGUUGCAGAGAGCUGAGAUUGUGCCACUGCACUCCAGCCUGGGUGACAGAGCAAGACUCUGUCUCAAAAAAAAAAAAAAAAAAAAAGGCAAGAAUUCACCUGAGGGGGAUAGAAACAUAAUGAUUUCCAAGGCAAAAGUAUCAUGAGGAGGAUCUAUUAAAGACCGUCUUGUCUUCUGCAAAGUCAGGAGAAGACUCUGGGCUCUGGCUGAAUUUUUUCCAAGAUAAUUUUCAUCCCUUCUCCAUAGACUCAUGUAGCCCCCUUUCUCUCCCCUGGGGUGACCAAUCCUGCACUUGCUGAGCCUGCUUUCUCCACAGGAAGAAACAUUUUAAAGGACCAAGUUGAGCUCCUUAUCAGAACAUGGACAGCUACAAGCCAAUUAUGCCUUUGUAAACUUUUUUGACACCUUCUAUUGAAAACUCCUGAAAAUAAUCUACAAACUCUCUUUCAUUUUCCGUAUUCAUACUAAGAAUCAAAAAUGAGCAGGGUUUCACUCCAAGAGCAUUUAGGAGACUGAUAAUUAAGCCCAGACAAAUAAUAAGGAAGCCUCCAUAGCUUCCUUCAUGAAUGACAGACCAAGAAUCAUUUGUGCUAAUGGUCCUGGUUGGGUCUCUUCCUCUCCUACAAAUUGCUUCGCUUGACCAUUUUUCAACCUGAAGACCAUUUUCUUUGUUCAUGUGCUGUGGCUCCACGUUAAAUGUCUCAAGAGGAUAUAUAUUUUUUAAGAAUAGAAAGGCACUGCUCAAGUCCCCAAGGACUUAUUGGAGCUGUUCUUUGUCAGUGCUCUCUUCUGUUGAUGGUAAAGUGUUGCUUGAGUCAUGCUUCCUCCUUGCAGAGGCAGAGGCAGGAGGAACAGAUGAUCAGGGUUUCAAAGUGAGAAAUCCAAGGUUCUCUUUCCAACUCUGCCAUGGACUUCCAACAAAACCUGAGGCUCAAAGCCAAGUAUAGCAGUGAGCAAUUUAAAGCUAGAGAGAGCUGCUGCAUAGAGGGCAUUCAGAGCCUUCUUGAAAGCUAAGUUUAUGUUUCCUCUUGUUGUGGAAGAAGUCCGUUCCUAAAACCCAAAUUCUGGUCUCUGAAGUAUUUUUCUUAAUUUGAAACCCCUAAAAUCUGGCUUUUGUUCAUUUCAUUUUUCCCCCUUUGGAACUAGUCAGAUUUCUCAAUACUAAUGCAAUAUUUUAAAUUCUUUCAGGUUGAAUCAAACUAUCUAUUUUUUAUAAUAUGGAAAAAGCAUGGGAAACAUGUUCUCAGCUCCCAAAAGCAGAAAAAAUUAGCAGUUGGAGAAACCACUGCAAUGUGUGGCCAGAAAAGACAAUGGAUGAAGACAUCUUGAUUGACAGUUCCUGGUUUUGCAGGAACCAUAGGAUAAAACUUGUAAAAUCUUUUUUUUUUUUUUUUUUUUUUUUUAACUGGAAUUUUUUGCUUGAGAGUUCAAGGUCUGUUUUUCCCCAUCCUGCAAACUUUUGUUUUUUUUUUUUUUUCCUUUUAACUGGAAUGUCUUUAUUGAAGACUCAAAAUCCUGCCAAAAACUCAACCUUGAUUUAAGAGGCCUGGUUGGCCAACUCAUAUCUAGAUUUAGCUUUAGUUGAUGCUGGAAAUGCCUGCAGUAAAUGAUUCCUAUUUGGCUCAAAGUAAUACAUCUUCUUUACUUUAAUGGCAGGGAGUUGGGAUUGUUACUUUUGUUUUAAAGGGGAAUGAGGGGAAGUUGAAACAUGUGGACUCAGUGAGGGAGCAAGUCUUCAAUAGAGACUUCUGAAGUAGCCAAGAAACCUGGGUAAAGGUCACUGAUGGCAGAAGGCAACCUGCAUUCAUGACAAACACCCCCAGUCUUCUUGCUGGCAUCAGAAUCUUGCAUUGAGCCUGCAGCUUUCUUGGCUAGCUGACACUUUUCUUUCUCUUUCUUCUUUUUCUUUUUUUUUUUUUUUUUUUUUUUUUUUUUUUUGAGACAGGGUCUUGCUCUAUCAUCGAGGCUGCAAGUCUGGAGUGCAGUGGCGCUAUCGUGGCUCACUGCAGCCUUGACCUUCCUCCCUGGGAUCAGGUGAUCCACCCACCUCAGCUUCCCAUGUAGCUGGGACCACCUGUAUGCAUCACCAUGUGUGGCUAAUUUGGCAAUUUUUCUUUUGGUUAGUGACUGGUUUUGCCAUUUGCCAUGUUGCCCAGGCUGGUCUCGAGCUCCUGGGGUCAAGUAAUCCUCCCACCUUAACCUCCCAAAGUGCUGCGAUUACAAAUGUGAGCUACUGUGCCUGGCCUGGAAGUGCUUUCUUAAUGAGGGUAUAAAACUGCAUACUAUAAUUGUACAAAUAGUUAAUGGAGAAUGGCAAUGUCUUACAUUGUCAUUGUAGAAAAUGAGUAGUGCAGGUACAUGUGUUUCUGGGGCAGGGGUAGGAGCAUGGACAAUGUGCCAUAAUGAUUGGGAGACUGUACUUGAGCACCAUGGAACCGGUUAGAUUAUUCACACCUUUACACUAAUAUGUUAAAGGAUUAGUAGCAACUUCCCAAGUGAUCCUGACACCUCAGCCUAAGCAGCUGGGAAUACAUGCAUGUGUCACCAGGCUCACCUAGUUUUUAAAAAAAUUUUUUAUAGAGGUAAGAUCUCACUUUCUUAUCCAGGGUGGCCUCAAAUUUUGGGGCUUAAGCAAUCCUCCUGCUUCAUCUUCCAAAGUGCCAGGAUUGCAGGUGUGAGUCACCAUGCCUGGCCAUAAACUGUUAUAGUAUGUCCUCCUGCUUUGACAAAUGUACCUUCACAACACUGGAAUAUAUGUUGAUAUGGUUUGGCUCUGUGUCCUCACCCUCAUCUUGUGUCCUCACCCAUCUCAUCUUGUAGCUCCCAUAAUUCCCAUGUGUUGUGGGAGGGACCUGGUGGGAGAAGAUUGAAUCAUGGGUGUGGGUCUUUCCCAUGUUGUUCUCAUGAUAUUGAAUGGGUCUCACAAGAUCUGUUGGUUUUAAAAAGUGGAUGUUUCUCUGUACAAGCUCUUUUUUCAUGUAAGAUGUGACUUGCUCCCCCUUGCCUUCCACCAUAAUGAUGAGGCCUCCCUAGCCACGUGAAACUCUAAGUCCAAUUAAACCUCUUUUGUAAAUUGCCCAGUCUUGGAUAUGUCUUUAUCAGCAGUGUGAAAAUGGACUAAUACAUAUGUAUAUAUGCAUACUGGUUGAUACCAAAUAAAUGCAGAGGAUACAACUUGAAAUUUUGUUUUACUGUUGUCAAAGCUGUGAUUUACUUUGGGAGGAGGUGGUGGUACACAUGCAUAAGCCUCAGCACACUGCAGCUUAUUCCCACUCCUUGCAAGGAGUCAUUUCUUGGCCAUCCCUCAGGCUUAGUGUGUACAUAUGGGCAAUGCAAUCUGCUAGACUGACCCAGGAAGAAAUCCUUGCAGGCUCUUAUGUUCUGAAGACUCCUUGGGAAGGGAAUUUGGGAAUCUUUUAUAAACAGAAUGUGAUACCAAAAGGGAUGGUCCAGACUCUAGGUGGACAUACCCCUUGCUUCAAGAGAUCGUUGCCUCCAUAUGAUAGGAGCAGCUCAGAGCCAGGCCCCCUCUUACCCAGAUCUGAGUUGAUCAGCAGAUGAGAUGAACUAGAGCCCAAAGGAACACAAUUUCUGAAACUGGAAAAUGAAUGGAUAAGAAGUAACUGACUUGGUAGACACAAAAAUGCUCAAUUCUCAACUAACAGUGGGGAAAGGGAAGAACCAACCUGGUUUAUGUGACAAAACCCUUAAGACUCUGGAAUUGAGAGGAGGGUAUUAGGUUCAGCAAUUUCCAGAAGUGAGGCUUUCCAAUAAGAAGGAAGAGUUGAGAGCUGGUUAAGACGUGUUACAUCCCUAGUUCCUCUUUUUACUCUAUAUUUGCAGGGAAACCUCUCCUUUCCCACCCAGGAAUGAAACUAAGCUUAUUAUCUGGACAGGAAAAAAGGCUUGUGGACCAGGAGGAGUCUAGCAGGCAUGACUGAAGGCAGGGUGCCACACUGAAAAGAUGAGAAUUAAACCAAGGUGUGUCUGUGGAAAGUGGAGACCGUGCUUGUACCUUGAGUCAUCUCCCCCCAUUCUGUUUUAGAAGCUUUGUGGUCAGGCAAAACAUUAGAUCUACUCUGGAAGACAUGACCAGAUCUUUGCAGUCAACAGGCUCCCCUCCUCUGGUUAAAAAUUCCAGUUAGAUUUUUAGUGUUUCACAACCAACAAUUAGCAGAAGUCUGAAGAAAUAUUCUAAAAAGAAAAACAAGAUUUCUGUAGGAAACUAACUGCAUGUGAAACAAACCAAAGAAAUAAUAUCCUUAAAUAAACCUAUUUUUUAAAUAUUUAUUUUAAAUCUUUUUUUUUAAAUCCACCCAUGGAUAAAGAACAGGCUUGCAUAAAAAGAAAUGUUCUGAGAAAAUAAAAGAGCUCUUGGGAAUUAAAAAUUAAAAACUCGAUGGUAAAAAGUCCAAGAAAGGGUUAGAAAAUAACAUCAAGGAAACCUCUUCAGAAAGUAGAAUAAAAUGGUAAAUAUAUAAAAUAUAGGUGAGAAAAAUAAUCAUAAAAGUAGUCACAAAGAAUAAAAGGCAUUCAAAAAGUUCAUUAACACACAAAAAAUGAGAGAAUAUGAUACACUGAACGAUUUCAAGAAAAGUCUCCAAAAUGAAAAGGCAUGAGUUAUCAGAUUGAAAAGUUCACCAGUAUCCAGAAAAAAGAAUGAAAAUAGAUCCAUAUAGAGACAACCUAUGUGAAAUAUCAAAUUACUAGGACACCAAGAAGAAAAUUCUACAAACUUCCAGUGAGAAGGGAGAGAGGAAGAACAGCAGCAAAAAAUUCAAAAUCGAAAAGUAGAUCCUAUUCCAAAGAAUCCAGAUGAUGAGAUACUUCUCAACAGCAAAACUGGAAGCUAGAUAUUAGGGCAAUUACUACAACAUUCUGAAGGAAAUAAAAAUUUCUAGCCAAGAAUUUUAUACCCAGACAUGCUAUUAGUUAAUGUGAAGCUAGAAUAAAGACAUUUUAAGACAUGUAAGUCCCCAAAUUUUGCCUCUUAUCUAACCCUCUCAAGAAGCUACUGAAAGAUGAUACCAUCAAGAAAAAAGUAUGCAAGAAAUAGGAAGAUAUGGUGUGUCAAAGACAAUUCUAUGUGUUUACCACAUGAUUUCUUCUUCUCAGCACACUGGAAGACUACAUAUCCCAGCAUUCUUUAUAGUUGUAUUGGAGCUAAUGUAGUUAGCUUUCUCUUCUGACAUUCUUUCAUGUCAGAGAAAAAGAAUUUUAGAUAAAACUACUUUCAGUGGUUAAUUUUGUGACAGUGGCUUUGAUGGUAGUCAUUCUUCAGCCAACCCAUGAAGAGAAAUGAGCCUGGUUGUGUUGGAGGUAUAAAAGAGUCCUGACAGUCAAAUGACUCAUUACCUUGUUUAUCUACAUUGUUCCAUUUUCCUGUAUACCCUCUGACUUGCACAGAUGGCUCAAAAACUGAUGUCCCUGUCCAUGGUUUCUUCCUGAAUAAACCAAAAGCACACUUGCUGUUCUUCUCCAUCUCUUUGGACGAUGCUGUAAAACUAGUUAUGGUAUAUCAGCACAUACAGAGCAUUGCUGCUGUAGAACACUUUACCCUGUUUUUUCUUCCUCUUUCUGUUAAAUUAGGGGUCAGCAAACCAUGGCCAUGGGCCAAAUCCGGCCCAUCUCCUUUUUGUGUGUCAUCUGCAAGCUCUGUGAAUGGCUUUACUUUGGCCUCUUCUCAAUUAAUAUAUAAAGCAUAAAGGUGGUAGUGAGAAUAGAAUCAAGAAGACUUUAUAAUAAAGGGGACCCAGGAAUUGGGUUUAUAAAUAAUAGCAGGUAUUAAUCAGUUAACUUUUCAAAGAAACAGUUUUGUUUAUUAUCUCCAGUGUCUAGUAUACUGCUUGUCACAGAGUCAGUGAUGAUAAAUUCUCCUUGGAUUAAUUGUCAUCCCAGUACCUGAUUCAUUGUAGGUCCUUGACAAAUGCAUGAAUAAUUCGGUAAACAACAAAGAGGUAUUAUGGAGCCCUCUGUUACAUGUGGAGCACAGUGGGGUGAUGAGUGAAUAUAAGAAGUGGACCUUGAAUUUAAGAUUCUUAAAAUCUCAUAAGAUUAAACCACCUUGUGAUGAUGUUGGCAAUAGACAGUUAUCAGUUGAACUGUGUAGUAUAGGCCAUUGCUUUCAAACCAGGGUGCUCAGAUCCCUGGGGUAUUCUUUUUUGGCACUGCAGAGUUGUCUUUUCCCACUUGCCCCUUUCUGUAGCCCACCUCUUCACCUAAGAACAGGUAAACACUUCACCUUUCCAGUUCUUACUGUGGCUCAUUGCUCUGGGCUGGAAGAUCUCCCAGGGCACAGACAAUCCAAAAUACUGACUUGAAAGAAGGGUCUUCUAAUUAAUUAAAUCAAUGAUUCUCAAAAUCUUUACUGUCUUGAAUAUAUUUCUCUUAAAGAUGAUAUAUGGCAUUAGAAAUGGGGAUAUUUUGGCUCUUGUGUGUUCUGAACUCAGAAAUACUAACUGUAGUCAUGGGCCCAACUUUCAUUUAAUGACCUUCUACUCUUUCAUCUCCCACCAUUAUCAAGAAAUCCAUAGCUCUUGAGAGUUUGGCAAAGAUAAAGCAAAAAGCAUUGAUAAGAAAUAAUGCUAAAAAUGGCUUCCCCCUUUCCACCCUCCCACAAGACAUAUUUCAUGAAAGUGUUUUUUUCCCAAUGCUUGUCCCAAGAAUAAGUCUCUAGCUAAAAAGAAAAGCACGUGUGAACAGCUCAGGUAGAGAAUAAGUUAGUGAUGAUUAAUUUAUAACAUGUAACUGAUUAUUUUUAGGGAUUAUCAAGCUUUCAAGUUACCUUGGACAAAGCCUAUGGAUAAAUAUUUUCUGUGUGUGAUUCCUUUUAAAAAAAAAUAUAUAUAUAUACAUAGAUAUAUAAAUUACAAUGUUCACCUAAUUUCACCGUAUAAAAUGUUUAAUAUUUUCUACUUUUUGAUAUAAAAACAUAAAAGCAUGAGGAAAAAUUAAUGAAGUAUAGUUUUUUAUGGUAUAUCUUUGUUUUUGUUUACAUAAAACAGGUUUGAUUACAUCUAAUGAAGUAACUGGUGAAAUUUCUUAAUAUCAUACAUUAUCCUUAUUUAAUGUUUCUAAUAAGCUAGUAGCUUAUGAGAUACAGGCAUACAGGCAACAUUCACAGAACAUGUUUAAAAUUGAUAAUGACCAAAAAAAAUAGCUUGUGAGACACAGGCAGAAUCCAUAAGCAUGUUAAAUAUAGUAAAUAGUAGGUAACCUGUAAGAUAUGGAUUGUUUGAGGCCAGGAGUUCAAGACUAGCCUGGGCAAAAUAGCAAGACCCCACCUCUAGUUAAAAAAAAGAAAUUGAAUGCAUGAUGGAACAAACAAGAGGUUAACUUACAGAUACAAAGACAUGGAAAGACCAAGUCAUAAAAUAUGAUGCUGUCACUUCUGGGACUUCUGGGCUGACAACUGUGUCACCCUUAAAUUGUCCAUUCACUAGUGACUCCCAGUAUGGCCUUAUUUUGGCCCCACAUGUGCUCUGCCUAAGAAAUUCAGUUAACGCCUAAAGCUGCUGAGCUGGCUAAUUCCCAAGCAUUAGCUGUGGCCAGGCACAAUUAGCCCUGAGUCUCUCAGAUGGCCUGGUGUUUGUGUUGGCUCCAGGUACUCUCUGUUCACUCACUCUUCUGAUGUUUUUUUUUUUUUUUUUAAAUAGAGAUGGGGUUUCACCAUGUUGCCAAGGCUGGCCUCAUAUUUUUGCUGGAUUCCUCACAAAGUGCUAGUAUUACGGAUAUAAGCCACUACACCUGGCCUAAACCCCCUGUUCAAACCUCAGCACUGGGCUUCAUAGCGUCACCACCCAUGGGGGAGACUGAAGCAGGAAAAGACAAUAUGUGAACACUGUGGGAUCCCCAAACUUUGAGUAGUGUGGUCUUCCAAUCUUUGUCUGUAGGAUGUCUUGUCUGGGUUCUAGGCACUUUAGCCUUUCUGGGGCUGUUUCUCCAUGAAGAAAUAUUAAAAAUGUUUACUACUGAAUUGAUAUGAAGACUAGUAUAAUCCAGGGUGGAUUAUAUUCAUUCCUUUCUUUCUGACUUAAAAAAAAUUAAAACAGUUUUGUGAGUUCCUAAAAAUGGAUAGUGCCAAAGUGCUGUGUCUGCGGUGCUUCAUGGAGAAGCUGACUCUGGUUUAAUCUUCUUAUACCCUUUGAAUGUAUUAACCCAUCUCUUUCCCUUGCCUCUUGCUGUAUUUUAAAUUGAUGAAAUAAUUCAUGUGAUUCAAGUAUUUAGAUUUGGUUGGCAAGCCUUUCUGUUCUGUGAUCUUUGAGAUAGCUUGCUUGAGGGCGUACUUGGAGGGUAUCAUUGCACCAGAGUAAUUCCCUCCACAACAUUCCCAAAAGCCAAACAUCUGCAUGUAGUACACACAUGCUCACCAGCCUAACAGUGAGUACCUUCCCAUUAUUCUAGGCCUCUUCUAGUAAAGAACUGGAAACUCUAACCACAUAUUAAAUGUUAUGCCAUUACAAGUUAAUUAAUAGAAAGCAGCAAAUAGAUAUAUUCUUAAUUUUAUAACUUAUAAAAAUUAAAAAGGAUUAUUUUAAUAUAAUUAUAAUGUAUAAGUAAUAUUAGAUCAAUAUCACCUUAAUUAUAACAACUUCUAGUAAUUUGCAUUAUGGUAUUAUAAAGUUAUAUGAUUCAUGCCUUUUCCAGUGGAUUUUAGAAUUUUUUUUUUGGAUAAGUCAGAGUCUUUUUUUUUUCUGGCAGAUUGAUUUAGCUGAUUGAUUAUCUUGAGAAGGAGUGCUGGCUUUGCUAAUUACCCUAUGUGGUAGAUUUUUUACAAAUUGAAUGAGCUAAAUAUGCAGCGCCAAGGUUUUGACUAUAUAUACUGUAUUCUAUAUGUAUAUCAGUAUAUCAUAUAUUUACAUAUGUAAUUGGAAAAGCUAUAUUGAAACAAAUUUAUUUUCAUAGCAUUUUCUAAGUAUACUGAAUUAAACAAGAUAAUUAAAAAAAAUUAUAUGCAAAAGUGGCAUCAGUUGGUGUAAGCUAUUUCCUCUCUGCAUUUGGCUAUGAUCUGGCUUCAAUGUCUUUUGCAGUGGGCAGCAUGACCACCAAAUACGGCCCAUGCCCUGAUCCCUGGAAGCUAAAUAUGUUACAUUACAUGAUAAAGGGGACUUUGCUGAUGUAAUUAAGGUUAUAAAUCUUAAAACAGGGAGAUUAUUUUUUAUUAUUCAGGUGGGCCUAAACUAAUCCCAUGAACCUUUAAAAGAAAUGGACUUUCCCUAGCUGGGGACAGAGGAUGGAUGUGUCAGAAGACAGAGGGGUUUGAAGCAUAAGAAGCAUUUUGCUCAUUGUUGUUGGCUUUAAAUAUGAAGACAGCAUCCAGAAUCAAGGCUCUUGGAGCUAGUCAACUUCUGACUUACAGCCAGCAAGGAAGUGGAACCUUAGUGCUACUGCCAAAAGGAGCCCAACUCUUCCAACAACCUGCAUGGGCCUGGAGGUGUGUUCUCUCCCAGAGCCUCCACAGAAGCACCAAGGCCAGACAGCACCUUAAUUUUGACCUUGAGAUUGGGAGGAAAGAAACCAGCCAAGCCCAUCCUACAGAACAGUGACUUUUCUGAAUGACAAACUUGUGAGACAAUAAAUUUGUGUUGUGUUAA